AUACGGAGGGUGCAAGCGUUGUUCGGAUUUACUGGGCGUAAAGGGCGUGUAGGCGGUCGGCUAAGUCAGAUGUGAAAUCCCUUGGCUUAACCAAGGAACGGCAUUUGAAACUAGCUAACUAGAGUACAGGAGAGGAAAGUGGAAUUCCCAGUGUAGAGGUGAAAUUCAUAGAUAUUGGGAGGAACACCGGUAGCGAAGGCGGCUUUCUGGUCUGAUACUGACGCUGAGACGCGAAAGCGUGGGUAGCAAACAGGAUUAGAUACCCUGGUAGUCCACGCCGUAAACUAUGGGAACUAGGUGUAGGAAGUGUUGACCCUUUCCGUGCCGAGGCUAACGCAUUAAGUUCCCCGCCUGGGGAGUACGGUCGCAAGGCUAAA
rnacentral:rRNA from 1 species